rnacentral:lncRNA from 1 species
UAAUCUUAAUAAAUUAUAAAAUUAUUACUAAUAUUAUAAUAAUGAAAAUAGUAGAAAAAGUAAAAAAAAUGAACGUUAAUUAUUUUAAAAAUAACUAUUAAAUAAAAAAUGAAAAUUAUAUAAAAAUAAAUAAAAAAACAAUUUUUUAAUUUACUUUUUGCAAAUAAGGGUAAAAAACAAAUAAAAGAUAAAAACACAUAAAAAUGAG